rnacentral:lncRNA from 1 species
GGUGUUGUUCUACAGUAUGAAAUCGGGGGUCUAGGAUUCCCCAUUACUGGAGAAAAGAUACGAAGGUUCAUCUCCACUAGCUGUGCCUUGGCCAGAACGACUGAGUAAGUACUGGGCUCAAAUACGUAUAACUGCUGUAUGAUCUUAAAGUGGAGGCCCCACUCGAACUUUCUUACGUUCCUACCUUCAUUCAUCAUGCUUUUAGGGGAAUAUCGGCCAAACUCUAGGAACUUUUAUACACACUGUGAUACAGUCAUCUCACCUUGGACUAGGUGUGCAAACUCUAUCUCUUUCAAAUGUCGGAAGUGUUCUGAGAGGUAUUCUGCAUUGAAGGCAAUCAGGAACUAUUCUCAAGUGACUAGAACGGGCAGGGUGGGCUGCUUGAGCUACCAUCAGUGACCUGCAUCUCCCACAAGU